rnacentral:lncRNA from 1 species
UCAAUUCAUUACACAGAAUUCAAUAUCUUCACUUAACACAACACAAUUCAAUAAUCUCAAUUCUCAAGGUCACAGAUUUUCUUCAAAACGAUCAAUCCAAAGUCAUAUUCUAUAAUAUUCUAAUCAUAGUUUCAACAAUACUUCUCUCAAUCACAAUUCUUCAUAAAAAAAUAAUAAAAGCAAAGAAAACAAAGAGGUAGCACCAAGCUUACCCCAGCUU